rnacentral:rRNA from 1 species
GCAUGGCAGUCGUCAGCUCGUGUCGUGAGAUGUUGGGUUAAGUCCCGCAACGAGCGCAACCCUCAUCCUUAGUUGCCAGCGGGUUAAGCCGGGCACUUUAAGGAGACUGCCAGUGGUAAACUGGAGGAAGGUGGGGAUGAUGUCAAGUCAGCACGGCCCUUAUGGGGUGGGCUACACACGUGCUACAAUGGUGACUACAAUAGGUUGCAAUGUCGCAAGGCUGAGCUAAUCCGUAAAAGUCAUCUCAGUUCGGAUUGUCCUCUGCAACUCGAGGGCAUGAAGUCGGAAUCGCUAGUAAUCGUGGAUCAGCAUGCCGCGGUGAAUACGUUCCCGGGUCUUGUACACACCGCCCGUCACACCAUGGGA